CCUACGGGUGGCAGCAGUGGGGAAUAUUGCACAAUGGGGGGAACCCUGAUGCAGCGACGCCGCGUGAGUGAAGAAGUAUUUCGGUAUGUAAAGCUCUGUCAGCAGGGAAGAAGAAAGACGGUAUCUGACCAAUAAGCCUCGGCUAAAUACGUGCCAGCAGCCGCGGUAAUACGUAGGGGGCAAGCGUUAUCCGGAUUUACUGGGUGGAAAGGGAGCGUAGACGGCAGGGUAAGUCUGGAGUGAAAGGCAGGGGCACAACCUCUGGACUGCACUUGAAACUGGCCGGCUGGAGUGCAGGAGAGGUAAGUGGAAUUCCUGGUGUAGCGGUGAAAUGCGUAGAUAUUAGGAGGAACACCAGUGGCGAAGGCGGCUUACUGGACUGUAACUGACGUUGAGGCUCGAAAGCGUGGGGAGCAAACAGGAUUAGAUACCCGAGUAGUC
rnacentral:rRNA from 1 species